GGGGGAUAACCUGGGGAAACCCAGGCUAAUACCGCAUACGUCCUACGGGAGAAAGCAGGGGAUCUUCGGACCUUGCGCUAUCGGAUGAGCCUAUGUCGGAUUAGCUUGUUGGUGAGGUAAUGGCUCACCAAGGCGACGAUCCGUAGCUGGUCUGAGAGGAUGAUCAGCCACAUCGGGACUGAGACACGGCCCGAACUCCUACGGGAGGCAGCAGUGGGGAAUAUUGGACAAUGGGCGAAAGCCUGAUCCAGCCAUGCCGCGUGUGUGAAGAAGGCUUUCGGGUUGUAAAGCACUUUCAGUGAGGAAGAAGGCCUUGGGGCUAAUACCCCCGAGGAAGGACAUCACCCACAGCGGG
rnacentral:rRNA from 1 species